ensembl:lncRNA
GAGAAACCUGUCUGGAAACAGUUAUUAUUACUGAUUAAAUCAUUAGGCAAAUAUCAAAUAUUAAAGUCAUUAAUUUCGGUCUUCGGAACACAAUUUAAGAUAUUUUGGAUGAAAACCCGGAGGCUUGAGACUGUCCCAUAGACUGCCAAAUAAAUACCAGUGUCAAGGUCCAGGAAAGUAUGAAAAGCAUCGUCAGAAUACUCCAUCUGCCAUCAGUGAUUCAACUGUAACGUUAUGAAGCGACGAGAAUACUUUUUGUACAUGAAGAAAACAAAAAUAAUGACUUUAUUCAACAAUUCCUCUCCUCUGUCAAAGCCAUUUUGGCAAAUCUGAGCUGUACGCAGGUGGCUUACACUCUUCUGUUUUCUUAUUUAGUUAACAAUAAUAACCCUGAACUGAAGAGGGAUGUGGCGAGUUUAUAAACUUCUCAAGUGUCUAGAUGUGUGCUAGUGAGAUAAUACAGGUGAUGUGGUCUUGUGUGACCUGCUUCAGUGCAGUUUCAGGGCAAGCGGGUGAGAGUCAUCUGAUGCUGAUCAUCUGGGUGAUUCUGAAGGGCAUCACAGUCCUUUACCAUCAACUCAUCUUUCAUAUCUGUGAAUACUGACGAGCGGCUCACUGUCUGUGCAGAUUCAUGAGGGAUCCUCUCCUCUGCUGGAUGACCUCUGACCUCUGACCCCAGGCUGGGAGGACACAGCGCCACCAGCCCUGAACAACCAGAAAUGACUGGGGUGAGCUGUGCCUUGGACGUGUUUUCGUGAGAUCCACUCAUCAUCAUGUUUCUCUCUUUUCUUCCGUGCAUCGAUCAGACGUCCGUUUGAGGGCCGCAGUGUUUGUCUGCAGAGGUUCUACAGAUUUAAAACCUAGCACAGAAAUAAAAGAAUCUGUGGCAACGGCAGAGGAAGAGUUCAAGAACAGCACUGAAGAGACAGAAAGAAAGCUCGUUCCUGAAGACGAGGAUGACGAGGAUUCUGGAGGCUCUGGACAUGUCCUGCCACAGCGGAAACCAAUGUUCGCUGGAGGCUCUGGACUUGUCCUGCCACAGUGGAAACAAAGAUUUUUCUAUUUUGCUAAAUCUAGACGAGUCAAGCCACAGUGGAAAGAAGUAUAUCCUUGUGAGAUUAUUACAAUAAACCCUCAUCUUGAAGAUAAAGAUGAGGAUGAAGAAAUGGAAAUGUCCAGGACUCAGUCUAUGGACAACUUGGCUCUGAUGCAGAAGCCUCUCUAGCAGUGAUGUGUUUUGAAGUUUGAUUUCGGGUGAAUCAAAGCUUCAUCCGGCAGACCAAGGAUUGAAAAUAAAGCAUCCAUAACCAGUUCCUUAUCA